rnacentral:rRNA from 1 species
GAUGAACGCUGGCGGCGUGCCUAACACAUGCAAGUCGAACGGGGUUUUAUGUCGGAAGUUUUCGGAUGGAAGAGAUAGGACCCAGUGGCGGACGGGUGAGUAACACGUGGGUAACCUGCCUCAUAGAGGGGGAUAACAGAGAGAAAUCACUGCUAAUACCGCAUAAGCACACGGGAUCGCAUGAUCCUGGGUGAAAAGAUUUAUCGCUAUGAGAUGGACUCGCGUCUGAUUAGCUGGUUGGCGGGGUAAAGGCUCACCAAGGCGACGAUCAGUAGCCGAUCUGAGAGGAUGGCCGGCCACAUUGGGACUGAGACACGGCCCAGACUCCUACGGGAGGCAGCAGUGGGGGAUAUUGCACAAUGGAGGGAACUCUGAUGCAGCAACGCCGCGUGAGUGAAGAAGUAUUUCGGUAUGUAAAGCUCUAUCAGCAGGGAAGAUAAUGACAGUACCUGAAUAAGAAGCCCCGGCUAACUACGUGCCAGCAGCCGCGGUAAUACGUAGGGGGCAAGCGUUAUCCGGAUUUACUGGGUGUAAAGGGAGCGUAGACGGCGAAGCAAGUCUGAAGUGAAAAUCCGGGGCUCAACUCCGGAAGUGCUUUGGAAACUGUUUUGAUAGAGUGUCGGAGAGGUAAGUGGAAUUCCUGGUGUAGCGGUGAAAUGCGUAGAUAUCAGGAAGAACACCGGAGGCGAAGGCGGCUUACUGGACGAUAACUGACGUUGAGGCUCGAAAGCGUGGGAAGCAAACAGG